rnacentral:rRNA from 1 species
UCACCGCUGUGAAGGUGCUGCAUGGUUGUCGUCAGCUCGUGCCGUGAGGUGUCGGCUUAAGUGCCAUAACGAGCGCAACCCUUAUCUUUAGUUACUAACAGGUCAUGCUGAGGACUCUGGAGAGACUGCCGUCGUAAGAUGUGAGGAAGGUGGGGAUGACGUCAAAUCAGCACGGCCCUUACGUCCGGGGCUACACACGUGUUACAAUGGGGGGUACAGAAGGCAGCUAGCGGGUGACCGUAUGCUAAUCCCAAAAGCCUCUCUCAGUUCGGAUCGAAGUCUGCAACCCGACUUCGUGAAGCUGGAUUCGCUAGUAAUCGCGCAUCAGCCACGGCGCGGUGAAUACGUUCCCGGGCCUUGUACACACCGCCCGUCAAGCCAUGGGAGCCGGGGGUACCUGAAGUACGUAACCGCAAGGAUCGUCCUAGGGUAAAACUGGUGACUGGGGCUAAGUCGUAACAAGGUAGCCGUACCGGAAGGUGCGGCUGGAACACCUCCUUU